GCCUAGCCGUAAACAAUUAACUUACACUAAUAAACGCCAGGGAACUACGAGCUAUGCUUAAAACCCAAAGGACUUGACGGUGUCCCAUACCAACUAGAGGAGCCUGUUCUAUAAUCGAUGACCCCCGCUAUACCCAACCAUCCCUUGCUUUAUCAGCCUGUAUACCUCCGUCAUAAGCCUACCAUGUGAACGUCAACAGUGGGCCCAAUGGUUUAUACAACCAAAAUGCCAGGUCAAGGUGCAGCUCACGGAAUGGUAAGUAAUGGGCUACAAUUUCUAAUCUAGAACAAACGGAAAGCUAUGUGAAACCACAGCCUAAAGGUGGAUUUAGUAGUAAAAAGAAAAUAGAGUGUUCUUUUUAACCCGGCCCUGGGACACGUACACACCGCCCGUCACCCUCUUCAAUAGCUCUCAUUUUAUGUAUAUUACACUAUAUCUGCGUUUUAGAAGAGGCAAGUCGUAACAUGGUAAGUGUACUGGAAAGUGCACUUGGUUAA
rnacentral:rRNA from 1 species